UCCCAUGGACAGAGGAGCCUGGUGGGCUACAGUCCACAGGGUCUCAAAGAGUCAGACACGACUGAGCGACGGAGUCACAUGAGCUGUUUAUAAAUUUUGAAGAUUAACCCCUUGUUGUUCAGCUCCUUUGCAAAUAUUUUCUUCCAUUUCCCUGGGUAGCCUUUGCACUUUGUUUACGGCUUCCCUUCCUCUUCUGUUCUCUUGUGAUUUGAUGACUAACUUUAGUAUUGUGUUUGGUUUCUUGUUUCUUUUUUGUGUAUGGUAUCUAUUGAGGUUUUCCUUUUGCCAUUACCAUGAGGUUUUGAAACAGCAGUCUAUAUAUACAUAUGAUUGUUUUAAGUUGGUAGUCUUAAUUUCUUAUGCAUUUGUGUUCUCCUCGCGAUUUCUGGUUUUGAUAUAUUUGGAAUAUUUGCAUCAUUUACAGAUGAUUUCCUACCUUUACUGUGUAUUUGCCUUUACUGGUAAGCUUUUCCAUUUGCAGUUUUCUUAUUUCUGGUUGUGGCCUUUUCUGCCUAGAGAAGUUCCUUCGGCAUUUGUCGCAAAGCUGGUUUGGUGGUGCUGAAUUCUCUUAGCUUUUGCUUGUCCGUAAGGCUUUUGAUUUCUCUGUCAAAUCUGAAUAACGAGCUUUGGUAGAGUAUUCCUGGUUGUAGGUUCCCUCUCAUCACUUUAAAUAAAUUGUGCCAUUCCCUUUGGCCUGAAGAGUUUCUGCUGAGAAAUCAGCUGCUAACCUUACAGGAAUUCCCUUGUAUGUUGUUACAUUUCCCUUGUUGAUUUUAAUAUUUUUCUGUCAAUUUGAUUACUAUGUGUCUUGGCAUGUUCUUUCUUGGGUUUAUCCUGCCUGGGACUCUGUGCUUCCUGGACUUGAGUGUUAGUUUCCUUUCCCAUGUUAGGGAAGUUUUCAGUUGUUAUCUCUUUAAAUAUUUUCUUGGGUCCUUCCUCUUCUAUGGGACCCCUAUAAGGCGAAUGUUGUUGCAUUUAAUGUCCCAGAGAUCUCUUAAUUGUCCUCAUUUCUCCUCAUUCUUUUCUUCAUUAUUCUGAUCCGCGGCAGCGAUCUCCACCGUUCUGUCUUCCAGCUCAUAUAUUCUUCUGCCCCAUAUAUUCUGCCACUGGUUCCUUCUAGUGUAUUUUUCAUCUCAGUUAUUGUGUUCAUCUUUGUUCUUUAAAUCUCCAAGGUCUUUGUUAGAUAUUUCUUGUAUGUUCCUGAUCUGUGCCUCCAUUCCUCUUCUGAGAUCUUGGCUCAUCUUUACUAUCAUUCCUCUGAAUUCUCUUUGAGGUAGAUUGCCAGUCUCUACUUCGCCCAGUUGUUCUUCUGGGGUAUCUCAUUUUGUCUGACUUUCUGUGACUGUGGCUUCCAUUCUUCAGGCUGUAGGGCUGUAGUUCUUGCUGCCUGCCCCUGGCAGGUGCAGCUAUCCAAGAGGCUUAUGCAGGCUUCCUGGUGAGAGAAACUGGUACUUGCCCACAGGUGGGUGGAGCUGGGUCUUGUCCCUCUGGUGGGCAGGGCUACGUCAGGGACUGUUUUUAUUGGGCAGCUGUUUUCUCAGGAUUUAAGCAGGCUGUCUGUUGCUGAGUGGAGCUGUGCUCCUGCCCUGUUGGUUGGGUGGCUUGAGGUGUCCUAGCACUGGCUGUUGGGUGGGGCCAGGUCUUGGUGAGAAAAUGGGGGCAUCCAAGAGGGCUCACACCAAUAAGUGUUCCCUAGAACUAUAACAACCAGUGUCCUUGUCCCUGCAGUGAGCCACAGCUGCCCCCCACCUCCACAGGAGACCCUCCAAUCCUAGCAGGUAAGUCUGGCCUAAUCUCUUAUGAGGUCACUGCUUUUUUUCCCUGAAUCCUCAUGUAUGUGAGACUCUGUACCCUCCAAGAGUGGUACAGUCAAACCUCACUGGCCUUCAAAGCUGGAUUCUCUGGAGCCACCUCCUCCUGUCGCCAGACCUCCACACUGGGGAGCCCUUUGUGGGGCUCAGAACACUCACUCUUGGGGGAGAACUUCUGUGAUAUAAUUAUUUUCCAGUUUGUGGGUCCCCACCUGGUUCAUAUGGGAUUUGAUUUUAAUCUUGAUUGUGCCCCCUACCGUCUUAUUGUGGCCUCUUUGGAUGGAGCAUAUCCUUUUUGGUAGGUUCCGGCGUGUGUUUUGUUGUUGAUGGUGGUUCUGCAGUUAGUUGUGAUUCUGGUAUUUCCGUAAGAGGUGAGCUCACACCCUUCUAUACUGCCAUCGUGUCUCCUCCCAAAGGCAUAUUAUUUACAGCUGAGACAUUGUUUAACAUUAUAGAUGUAAAUAGAUAAAUAAGCAGAUGGGAUAGAAAGAUUCUGUUACUCAACUCAACUGCAUGACAUUGUCAUAUCAAAAAUGAUAGUGAUAUAUCAGCUUAAACGCUUAAUUAGAUAGAUCCUCCUUUAGUUUGUUGAAAGCAGAGAACUAGACAGUACUGGCCUUGCCAUAGAUUUGUUAGCCAGUCAUUAUAAUUAAUUUGGUGCCCCUGAGCUUUUUAUACUCCAGAGGGCAAUGCACUGCAAUAAGGUGGAUGAGACCUAAGGCACUUAAAAAAAAAAAAAAGGAAAAGGGGAAGAAUUGGGAGGCUUCUCAGGCAGAUCAGUUUUAGGACAGUGCAUGUACUUGUACCCACGGAUCUUGUGGAGAGGGAAGACCACAUGCUUAAAGGAUUACAAAGCAGCUAUGACAAGACCAUGACAAGCAGCUUAAAAAGCACAUAAAAUAAUGCUUACCUGUUUACCUCUGUGUUCUUCAGAGUGGUGUUAAAAGCUGCACUUUUGCAAAAACUAAUUAAACAAAAAGCAGACGGGUCCAAACGUGCCGGGCAGGGGGUGCUGUGGUCUGAGAAAAUACAGUCUCUACGUGAGCCCAGAGAAUCUGGCAUAUACUGUUUGUAUAAUACAGUGCAAAAGACCAGCACAGAAUCUUGACUACCAGCAGGCUUUUACCUGAGAACACAGUUGCCUUAUCAUCUACUGCCUUCCUGCCACUGUCCUUCCAUAUAAGGUCCACGUAAAGGAUGUUUAACACAACUGUGACAGACUCCCACAUCAGCCAGACCUGAACGCAAAGGGUCCAGUGAGAACCCAAGUCCCCAUCCCACCCCACCACCUUCUAUUUAGUACAAACCUUAUGUCAGACGAACGUCACUGAAAAACCAACAGCAUCUCUAUUCAAAACAGCAGAGGUUUUAUAUUAAAUAUAGCUUAGUAUAAAGUCUUUCGCUUGACCCCACAGCCAAUGUGCAUGCAUGGUUAUAAUUACUGUGUGCCAGUGGUUCACACACACGACUGAUUAGCUGUGUUCUCACCACCCGAGGAGCUAGGUAAUAUGUGGUCGCGUCACUUGGAAGGUAGGAACCUGGCUUAGAACACAGAGAUAAUUCCUAGUGUUAGGAAUUGACUCUAUACUGCCUUCAAAUAAGUAACUGCCCAAAAGGUUAAAAGUGAGACGUGUGUGUACAUCUCAGUAUAUAAUGUUUUAAAGUGAACUUUAGUAGGAAGAAGAUGUGAAACAAAAAGGCUUUGGUCUGGGCGAGGUCCUCCAGAAGUCGCCUGAUGUGACUGAGAGCACGCAGUCUUGGCUUUUUGACGGAAUGCGGAUGGUUAAUCCCAACUUCGGUUUCCGUUACCUGGAGAGUGUGUAUCCAGACCUCAGCCUCGAGGAGGACAGGCCUCUGCAGCCUCCGGCGUCACCCUAAGUGAGGUGAGCACCGUACAUUCUGCUCACGCCCGCGGCUGCCGCUCCUUCCUAUCGCAGACCACCUUUCUCGGACCAGGCAAAGGAGUGCAGCACACGUGUUCAUGUUAAAAUGUGAAUUUUAAUCGUAAAAACUUUUCUGUAAAUAUAGUUAUAUCAACCUCUCUGCAUACAGCUUGGUUCACAUAUAUA